AGUGAACGCUGGCGGUAGGCCUAACACAUGCAAGUCGAACGGCAGCACAGAGGAGCUUGCUCCUUGGGUGGCGAGUGGCGGACGGGUGAGGAAUACAUCGGAAUCUACUCUGUCGUGGGGGAUAACGUAGGGAAACUUACGCUAAUACCGCAUACGACCUACGGGUGAAAGCAGGGGAUCUUCGGACCUUGCGCGAUUGAAUGAGCCGAUGUCGGAUUAGCUAGUUGGCGGGGUAAAGGCCCACCAAGGCGACGAUCCGUAGCUGGUCUGGGGGGAUGCUCAGCCACGCUGGAACUGGGGCACGGUCCAGACUCCUACGGGAGGCAGCAGUGGGGAAUAUUGGACAAGGGGCGCAAGCUUGAUCCAGCCAUACGGCGUGGGUGAAGAAGGCCUUCGGGUUGUAAAGCCCUUUUGUUGGGAAAGAAAUCCAUCUGGUUAAUACCCGGGUGGGAUGACGGUACCCAAAGAAUAAGCACCGGCUAACUUCGUGCCAGCCGCCGCCGUAA
rnacentral:rRNA from 1 species